CAUCACACACUUCCAUGCCCGAGGCAGGAUUCGAACCUGCAACUGUAACAGUCGCUCGGUUCCAGACCGUAGCGCCUAGAACAGCACGGCCACUCCGGCCGGCUUUGCUUGUUCAAAUGUGUUUGAAAUCUUUCGGGACUUAACUGCUAAGAUCAUCAGUCCCUAUUUUUGUUUAAGAGGCCUCUUAUAUUCUGAUGAAAAAAAGAGAUUCCUUCCUCUUGCUUUUUUAUUCUAUUAGUGCUGUUGUUACCUGACUGGGAAUCCACUGGAGUUUGUCUUGAGACAGAAGGGAGGAGACAAUUGACACUACCUACUGUUGUCCCUUCUUUUUCUUCAGGCCGACACAUAAAAAAUCAUUGAGAUGUGAAGGAGGCUCAGCAUUUCUUCUGCACAACAACCUUUUAUUUGGAUUGCUUGAUGAAGAUUUCUUCCCAUUUGUUGCAUGUGGAAUUUCUGUUUUUUGUGUAGAUGGCACAUCUUUUGCUUCUGCAGGUGAUGUUAAUCUUGUAGAUGAAAUCACAACUUCAACUCCAUCAUUGCAGAUGGACCAUGCAUUUCAAUUUAUACACCAACUGACAAGUUAUUUUUCUCCUUUACAUUUUCAGCACCUGGAUGUCCUUGUAUUCCCAUUUCUAGGACAGUUUGUGACUUGUUUCACUCAGUUAUAUGAGGGUUGUUUUUUAAGUGAGGGCCGUUCGUGCAUAUAGUCCCAUAGUUUGCGCGGACGCCGCAGCAAGCCACCGCGCCACUUGCCGGCAUCCUUCCCGUUCACACUGAUGCAAGUUGCAGCUCUCUAGCUGACGUGUACGCAUUGCUGUGCUACUUUAUAAUGUUUACGAUUAUUGAAUCGCCCGCCGCGUGUGAGAUACGGUCAGUGAUACGUUUUUUGACCGCGAGAAGCCUAUCAGCUGCAGAAAUUCAUCGUCAGUUAACAGAAGUUUAUGGCUUGAAUGCAAUGAGUGAAGGUAAAGUGCGUCAAUUGGGUUAGAGAGUUUAAAAAUGGCCGUCAAAACAUCCAUGACGAAGAAUGCUCAGGCCGGCCCUCUGUGAUCACUGAUGAUUUGGUGGCUGCAGUGGAAACAAAGAUUCGUGAGGACAGAAGAUUCACAAUUUCCACUCUUUCUUUGGAAUUUCCAAAAGUUUCAAGAUUGGUUUUGUACAAAAUUGUGUCUGAAAACCUAAACUUUAAGAAACUGUGUUCUCGGUGGGUACCCAGACUGCUCACAGAGGACCACAAAGGGAAGAGAUACCAAGAGAAUCUUGUAAAGAUCACUUCAAAGAGUUCACAAUUAUGACAAUCUCAAGCCUCCAUAAGUAUAGUUGCCUUCUCAGUGUUAAAGAGAAUUUAAAUAGUUUUAACCUUAAGAUGUCUCUACAUGAUCACAAAACUAGAACUGGACAAUCAAUUGAUGUAUCCUACAGUAGCUCAGCUAAGCUUCAUUACAGCCACAAAUAUCUAGGCCCCAGAAUUUUCAAUAGAGUCCCAAAAGCUGCCCAUUGUGUUCCAUUAUAAUACAUCUAAAAAUGUUCUAGUGGUGUGGUUUAAUAAGGAAGCAUACUACUCCGUAAAAGAGUAUGAAGGAUUAGAUGUACGUGACAUAAAGUCCUGACUACCAUCAUACUAAGUUGUUACAAAUCACUAAUUAAAAGUUUCAGUUGGUUGGCUGAUUUGGGUGAGGGACCAAACAGUGAAGUCAUCAGAUCAGGGAAGGAAGUUUGCCAUGCCCUUCCAAAGAAAGCAUCCAGGCAUUUGCCUGAAGUGAUCCAGGGAAAUUGCAGAAAACCCAAAUCAGGAUGGCUGGAUGUGGGUUUGAACUGUCAUCCUCCUGAAUGCAAGUCCAGAGUGCUAACCAAUACCCCACCUCACUGGAAAGUUAAAAGAUGCUCCAGGUCAGUCUGUGAACUAGCCAAAGAUGUACUCAAAAUGAUGGCUUUCACCUUAUGAAUUCAUGCUGCUUGCUGCUGACCAUCUACUGUUGGAGAAACUGACUGUCUUCUGGCAAUACCACAUUGCAGAGUGGUACCAAUACUGGAUUUCAAUGUGGAAGCCAGCAACAGGGCCUGAGAUUCACAUUCCUGUUCAACGUUCAGGCGUCUUUUUGGGCUGAAAUCUACCAUGGGUAGGUAGGAGAUCAACUGACCAGAUGACUCCUGACACCAGGUGCAUUGCAGAUGGAUCAUCAAGGGUCAUUGUAGAAUUUGGAGUGGGAUCCAGUACAUUCUUCAGCCAGCAUGAGAACCACUUCAUGGUGCGCAGCUGCCAUACCACCAGGGUUGCUGGCAUCACCUGUCCAGUGGGCAAAUGCUGAGAUGACUCGACGGAUGUCAGCUAGAAUUACAUGCAGCUGAAUUAGCAACAGCCAAUGCUGCUGCAGAAGAAUGACAACUUGUAAACAUUGUGAAUAAAUAACUGAACUCUCACAAUAUUUCA